rnacentral:rRNA from 1 species
UCAAUGAUAUUAAAUAGCCGCAAACGUGCUAAGGUAGCAUAAUCACUCGCCUUUUAAUUUAAGGAUAGAAUGAAAGAUUACACAAUUAAACUUCUUUAUUAAGAGCACCUAAUUAAAUUUUAUUAAAUAUAAAAAUAUAUUUAUAUAUUAAAAAGACGAUAAGACCCUAUUGAACUUCACUUAAGUUUAGUUGGGGAAACUAAUUAAUAAUAAUUUUAAUUUAAACUAUUUAAUAAAAAUCUAUUUAAUAAAAAUACAAGCUACCAUAGGGAUAACAGCGUAAUAUUAUUUCAAAGCCCUUAUUUAAAAUAAAUCUUACGACCUCGAUGUUGAAUUAUAAUUACUUACAUAAGUAAAAAUAUAUAAAGUAGUCGUCGA